AUUCUGGCUCAGGAUGAACGCUGGCGGCGUGCUUAACACAUGCAAGUCGAACGGGAUCCAUCAGGCUUUGCUUGGUGGUGAGAGUGGCGAACGGGUGAGUAAUGCGUGACCGACCUGCCCCAUACACCGGAAUAGCUCCUGGAAACGGGUGGUAAUGCCGGAUGCUCCAGUUGAUCGCAUGGUCUUCUGGGAAAGCUUUCGCGGUAUGGGAUGGGGUCGCGUCCUAUCAGCUUGACGGCGGGGUAACGGCCCACCGUGGCUUCGACGGGUAGCCGGCCUGAGAGGGCGACCGGCCACAUUGGGACUGAGAUACGGCCCAGACUCCUACGGGAGGCAGCAGUGGGGAAUAUUGCACAAUGGGCGCAAGCCUGAUGCAGCGACGCCGCGUGAGGGAUGGAGGCCUUCGGGUUGUAAACCUCUUUUGUUUGGGAGCAAGCCUUCGGGUGAGUGUACCUUUCGAAUAAGCGCCGGCUAACUACGUGCCAGCAGCCGCGGUAAUACGUAGGGCGCAAGCGUUAUCCGGAUUUAUUGGGCGUAAAGGGCUCGUAGGCGGCUCGUCGCGUCCGGUGUGAAAGUCCAUCGCUUAACGGUGGAUCUGCGCCGGGUACGGGCGGGCUGGAGUGCGGUAGGGGAGACUGGAAUUCCCGGUGUAACGGUGGAAUGUGUAGAUAUCGGGAAGAACACCGAUGGCGAAGGCAGGUCUCUGGGCCGUCACUGACGCUGAGGAGCGAAAGCGUGGGGAGCGAACAGGAUUAGAUACCCUGGUAGUCCACGCCGUAAACGAUGAGUGCUAGGUGUUGGAUCCUUUCCGGGAUUCAGUGCCGCAGCUAACGCAUUAAGCACUCCGCCUGGGGAGUACGACCGCAAGGUUGAAACUCAAAGGAAUUGACGGGGGCCCGCACAAGCAGUGGAGUAUGUGGUUUAAUUCGACGCAACGCGAAGAACCUUACCAAGUCUUGACAUCCCUUGACAGACAUAGAAAUAUGUAAUCUCUUCGGAGCAAGGAGACAGGUGGUGCAUGGUUGUCGUCAGCUCGUGUCGUGAGAUGUUGGGUUAAGUCCCGCAACGAGCGCAACCCUCGCCCCGUGUUGCCAGCACGUUAUGGUGGGAACUCACGGGGGACCGCCGGGGUUAACUCGGAGGAAGGUGGGGAUGACGUCAGAUCAUCAUGCCCCUUACGUCCAGGGCUUCACGCAUGCUACAAUGGCCGGUACAGCGGGAUGCGACAUGGCGACAUGGAGCGGAUCCCUGAAAACCGGUCUCAGUUCGGAUCGGAGCCUGCAACCCGGCUCCGUGAAGGCGGAGUCGCUAGUAAUCGCGGAUCAGCAACGCCGCGGUGAAUGCGUUCCCGGGCCUUGUACACACCGCCCGUCAAGUCAUGAAAGUGGGCAGCACCCGAAGCCGGUGGCCUAACCCCUUGUGGGAUGGAGCCGUCUAAGGUGAGGCUCGUGAUUGGGACUAAGUCGUAACAAGGUAGCCGUACCGGAAGGUGCGGCUG
rnacentral:rRNA from 1 species